UUUCUAUCUCAGAAGCAGAUUCCCCAGCUCUGGAGUCAUGUGAUUUCCAGUAACUGCAGAGAGGAGGAGGAGCCUCGAGUUAAAGUGAAAGUGUUCAGACUAGUUCUAACUACAAGGAGCAGACGGAGGAGACGUGAAGUCUGAGGCUGAUAAACAUUGAAGCUGGUGUGAAAGAUUUCUGCUGUAAACUGAGCGCAGAACGAGAAGGAAAUAGACCAG